rnacentral:rRNA from 1 species
AUGGGUAUGCAGGCUCUGAUGAAUGUCCGGUGCACGAAUCUUGUCAACCCUGUAUGCGACUGGCUUGGUGAGAUUUACGACCCCGCCUCCAGGGAAUUUGUUAUUCCAGGACGUGGAAGACUGCCAUUGAACGAGGAAUCCGUGUUCUGCACUUUGGGUGUGCCUCGUGGACAAAUCAAAUUCCCGUACGAGACCAUGACAACCCAUGGCGAGGUUUUUAAGAUGAAGCUAAUCAUGUACCUCAUCUCAGCUGUUUUCGCACCGACCACUUCUCUUCGCCCAAGCAACAAAUGCUUCCCCAUCCUGGCGAAAUUGAAAGAUGUGAAGAACAUGAAUUGGUGUAAGUUUAUUGCCGACUUCCUGCACGAUGCAUUCUCAAGCAAGAUGUACCAGAAGGGUUGUCGACUGCAUUUAAUGCUCAUGUACGUCGACUGUCUUGAUCUGUCCAUUGUGGAUUUCACUGGGAUAGGAGGCCCGCCUCCUACACACAAGUUUGUUGUUUCUGCGUGGACUAUCGAUGUUGUCAAGGUUGUGCUUGCUGCAGACAAGGUAACUGAUACCAAAUAUGGAAAACUGCAGCUGAUGGCCAAGCACACUAUAGACUACAAUGUGUUUGGGGGGCCUCAAAACUUUGGAAAGUGGAUGGACGUGCACUCAGCUCCGUCUUGCCCCUACUGA